CGUCAUCGAUCUGUUGCGGGCAGAUCCAGUGGAUAUGGCUGUCGAUGCCCCCGGCGGUGACGAUGCGGCCCUCGCCGGCGAUGGCUUCGGUGCCCGGGCCGACAAUGAUGUCCACGUUGGGCUGCACGUCCGGAUUUCCGGCCUUGCCGAUGGCGGCGAUCUUGCCGUCACGGAUGCCGAUGUCGGCCUUGACGAUGCCCCAGUGGUCGACGAUCAGGGCGUUGGUGAUGACCGUAUCCAUGGCCCCCUCGGCGCGGGUCGCCUGGGACUGGCCCAUGCCGUCGCG
rnacentral:sRNA from 1 species